UGAAUUACAGCCGUCGGUAGUUUAGUUUUCUAUUGGGAUGAUUCAGCGAAUAGUUUUUUUGGAUAACAUUUUUUGUCUCUUUAUUUUGGAAUGUGUUAAGGAAUUGAUUUUGGUCUUUUCCUUGAUUUUAUGGUUGUUUGUAGAGCUUUCUUUUGAGAGUAAGCAAUGGAUUAAUAAAAAUGUUUUAUGUUAUUGGUAUUGUGGUUUCUUUGGAUUAAUUUGCAUACGGGUUUGGUGUAAGCGUGACAGCUCUCUUCAGGAAUAUGAUCGAACUAAUGAUACACUUAGGUAUUGUGAUGUAGGAAGGAUCUCCUAGUUUUUCCUUUUUGAGAUUUCUAUUUUUCUGAGCUUUUCCUUUUCACUUUUCACGUUUGAUUUGUUUUCCUAUUUUAUGGUUGAGAUCCUUCUCUAUAUAAAGAGAGGUUCUAGGUUUUUGUAAGACACAAUUUAUUAUUCUAAUUGAGAGCUUUUAUCAAAUCUGGUGGAUUUCCAGAGUUCUUCAUCAAGUUCAUCGCUUGUGAACUUGAAUUCAUUCUAGGUUUAGUGUUUGCUAUUCCUAAAAGUUUUUCCGGCUGCGUCAGGUGGUAUCAGAGCAGGCUGUUUCCUGUCUCUUUUCAAAAAUUGAUCAGCCAUGGGAGAUCAACCUUUGACCAAAGCAGAUAUAUACAAGGAUUCACCGAGGCUAUUACCACGGCCCUAACUACUUUGGCCGAUCAGAUACGAAACCUAAUCAUUCAAAACGACAAAGAAGCCAAACCCAAUAAGAUCAAAGAAGAACAACAACGAAACAGAGGAGAAUGGAAUAAAGCAGGAAAUAAUCGUAUUGAGAGCUCAAGUUCUGAUGAAGAAGAUCUCGAGGAGGACGAGGUUAACCAAGGGAAUCAACAUAAUAAUCACGAUUAUCGUGUAAAGGCAGAUAUUCCUUUGUUUUAUGAAACUAUGAGAGUAGAAGAUUUCCUAGAUUGGUAGAUAAGCGUUGAUAGAUUGUUUGAAGUCAUGGGUGUUCCCGAGAAUAAGCAAGUCAAGAUGGUCGCAAUUAGAUUGAAGAGCACUGCUGCUGUGUGGUGGGAUAAACUUGUUAUCCAAAGGCAAAGGCAAAGAAAGGGACCAGUUAAGACUUGGAGGCGAAUGAAACAAUACAUGAUGGACAAGUUUCUACCCGAGGAUUACGAGCAGAUUCUAUAUAAGAUGUAUAUUGAAUGUUCUCAAGGAAAGAGAACAGUGACAGAGUACACGGCUGAGUUUCUUCUCCGAGCGCAAUGAUCUAGAAUAAACAGAAAAUCAGAAAGUAGCCAGGUACAUAAGUGGUUUGAAGGAUUUCUAUACAAGAGAAGCUGGGUUUGCAAACAGUAUGGACUGUGCAAGAGGCUUCAAGCUUAGCAUUAAAAGCUGAAUUAAUGGAGAAUUCUUCCCGUAACUUUUCUUCCUUCAAAAGAUAUCAGCCUCAAAAUAAUCUGGACUCAACCGGAGAUAAGGAAAAAAGUACAGGAUCAAAGGAAGCUAGCCACAACAACCAAGAAGCUGGUAGCUCUAGUAACAAAUAUAAUAACAAUCAGCAGAAUAAAGCACCUGUACAGAGGCAGGGUAACCCUUAUGCAAGACCAACCAUUGACAGGUGUUUCCAUUGUCAAGGACAUGGUCACAGAUCGAGCGUUUGCCCAAGCAGAAAAACUGUAGCUUUUCUAGGAGAAGAAGAGGAACAUGACGAAGAGGAUGAGUAUGAAGGGGUAGAGUUCGCUGAAGAAGAGUCCACUGAGGUAGUGAGUUUGGUGCUUCAAAGGGUCCUACUAUCAUCUAAGGAAGAGGGGCAACGAAAGAAUUUGUUCCAAACACGUUGUACGGUUGGUGACAAACUGUGUAACUUGAUUGUGGAUAAUGGCAGCACAGAAAAGUUAGUUUCUCAGAAACUAGUUGAUUAUUUGAAGUUACCUACAAAACCACAUGAAAAACCAUAUGCCCUGGGGUGGGUGAGGAAAGGUUCUCAAGUUCGAGUAACGAUGGCUUGUAGAGUUCCAAUCUCCAUUAGGAAACAUUAUAAAGAAGAAGUACUUUGUGAUGUUCUUGAUAUGGAUGUUUGUCACGUCCUAUUUGGUCGCCCUUGGCAGUAUGAUAAUGACAUUACAUACCGAGGAAGGGAUAACGUGUUAUUGUUUACAUGGAACGGGUACAAGAUUGCUAUGGCUCCUGUUAAGAAUUCAGAUCAGAUUACAAAGAAAAAGAAUUCCAAUUUCUUGGCUAUGGCAUAUAGUGAGAAGGAACUCGAUGAGGCAAUCAAAGAAAUAGGGUGUUUCUAUCCAGUGGUGAUUAAAGGCCUUAUGAGUGUUGUAAAUGAGGAAACGACAACACCAAACGAAGUACUAGAGAUCCUGAAAAAUUUCGAGGAUUUAAUCGCAGAUGAGCUGCCACAUGAGUUACCUCCCAUGCGUGAUCUUAUUCCGGGGUCAAGCUUACCAAACCUUCCCCAUUAUCGCAUGAGUCCUAAAGAAAAUGAGAUCAUGAGGGAACAAAUUGAGGACUUGUUAAGGAAAUGAUUCAUUCGUGAGAGCAUGAGCCCUUGCGCAGUGCCAGUCCUUCUCGUUCCUAAGAAAGGAAACCAAUGGCGAAUGUGUGUCGAUAGCAGAGCCAUUAACAAGAUAACUAUCAAGUAUCGAUUUCCAAUUCCUCGAUUGGAAGACAUGCUUGAUGAGUUAACUGGUUCUAAGGUCUUUUCCAAGAUUGAUCUUCGCAGUGGAUACCAUCAGAUUCAAAUUAGACAUGGAAAUGAAUGGAAGACAGCUUUUAAGAGCAAAGAUGAAUUAUAUGAAUGGUUGGUGAUGCCCUUUGGGAUGUCAAACGCUCCUAGUACCUUCAUGAGACUGAUGAAUCAGGUUCUUCGUCCAUUUACUGGUUCCUUUGUGGUGGUUUAUUUCGAUGAUAUUCUGAUUUAUAGUAAGACAAAAGAAGAGCAUUUGGAGCAUAUAAGGCAGGUGUUGCAAGUUUUACAAGAAAACAAAUUGUACGUCAAUUUGAAAAAGUGUACAUUCAGCACCAACAAGUUACUCUUUCUUGGCUUUGUCGUUGGAGAAGAAGGAAUUCAGGUUGAUGAGGAUAAAGUAAAAGCUAUCAGGGACUGGCCUGCCCCUAAAUCAGUCGCUGAGGUACGUAGUUUUCAUGGUCUUGCUACCUUCUACAGGAGAUUUGUAAGAGAUUUUAGUACUAUCACUUCUCCUAUUACGGAAUGCUUGAAGAAAGGAAAGUUUCGUUGGGGUCUUGAGCAAGAGAAAAGUUUUGCCUUGAUAAAAGAAAAGUUGUGUACUGCACCGGUUCUAGCCUUACCUGAUUUUGAUAAAAUUUUCCAAGUUGAAUGUGAUGCUAGUGGGGUAGGAAUAGGUGCUGUUCUAUCUCAGGAGAAAAGACCUAUAGCUUUCUUCAGUGAGAAAUUAAGUGAAGCUCGGCAGAGAUGGAGUACUUAUGAUCAAGAAUUUUAUGCAGUGUUUAGAGCUUGAGGCAGUGGGAGCAUUAUCUAAUUCAGAGAGAAUUCGUUUUGUUCACCGACCAUCAAGCUUUAAAAUUCUUACACAGCCAGAAGGUGAUAAACAAGAUGCAUGCUCGAUGGGUAAGCUUUUUGCAGAAGUUUCCAUUUAUUAUUCAACAUAAAUUUGGAGCACUUAACAAAGUGGCAGAUGCUUUGAGUAGAAGGGCUUCAUUGUUAGUUACCUUAGCACAAGAGGUGGUGGGCUUUGAGUAUAUGCAAGAUUUAUAUGAAAGUGACGUCGAAUUCAAAGAGUUGUGGGCCAAAUGCAACGCAAAACAUCCUUCAGCAGAUUUUCACAUUCUAGAUGGUUAUUUAUUCAAAGGAGAUCGAUUGUGCAUUCCUUGAUCAUCGUUGAGAGAGAAGUUAAUCCGCGAUCUGCAUGGUGGUGGUCUUAGUGGGCAUUUAGGUAGAGACAAAACCAUAGCCAGUCUAGAGGAGAGAUAUUAUUGGCCGCACUUGAGAAAAGAUGCUGGAACAAUUGUCAAAAGAUGUUAUAUUUGUCAGGUUUCCAAAGGUCAGUCCCAAAAUACUGGUCUUUAUAUGCCUUUACCUAUUCCUGAUGACAUUUGGCAAGAUCUAGCUAUGGAUUUUGUGUUGGGAUUGCCUCGUACGCAACGUGGUGUGGAUUAUGUGUUUGUGGUAGUUGACAGAUUUUCUAAAAUGACACACUUUAUUGCUUGCAAAAAGACUGCUGAUGCAUCCAAUAUUGCUAAGUUGUUCUUCAGAGAAGUUGUGCGUCUUCAUGGAGUUCCCAAAUCGAUUACUUUAGAUAGAGACACCAAGUUUCUCAGCCAUUUUUGGAUCACUCUUUGGAGGAUGUUUGGGACAAUUCUAAACAGGAGUUCUACAGCUCACCCACAAACUGAUGGGCAGACUGAGGUAACCAACAGAACUCUAGGGAAUAUGAUUCGAAGUGUUUGUGGUGAUAAGCCAAAGCAGUGGGAUUUGGCUUUGCCUAAAGUAGAAUUUGCUUAUAACAGUGCUGUGCAUUCCGCGACGGGGAAAUCACCUUUUUCUUUGGUAUACACGUCUGUUCCUAAGCAUGUAGUUGAUCUGGUUAAACUGCCUAAGGCUCCGGGGUCAGUGCAUCAGCUGAGGCCAUGGCUGAAGAAAUUUUGAGUGUUAAAGAAGCUGUUAAAGCUAAGUUAGAAGCUACUGGGCAGAAGAACAAGGUUGCUGCUGAUAAACGUAGGAGGAUUGAAAUUUUCAAAGAAGGUGAUGAUGUGAUGGUAUUCCUCCGUAAAGAGAGGUUCCCCGUUGGUACUUAUAACAAGCUGCAACAACGCAAGUAUGGACCAUUCAAGGUGUUACGAAAGAUUAAUGAUAAUGCUUAUGUUGUGGCUCUCCCAGAAUCUAUGAACAUUUCUAAUACCUUCAACGUAGCUGACAUUCAUGAGUAUCAAGCAGAUGAGAUUCUCUAUCCGGAUGAGAACUUGGAGACUGAUGUAGGAAGGAUCUCCUAGUUUUUCCUUUUUGAGAUUUCUAUUUUUCUGAGUUUUUCCUUUUUACUUUUCACGUUUGAUUUGUUUUCCUAUUUUAUGGUUGAGAUCCUUCUCUAUAUAAAGAGAGGUUCUAGGUUUUUGUAAGACACAAUUUAUUAUUCUAAUUGAGAGCUUUUAUCUAACCUGGUGGAUUUCCAGAGUUCUUC
rnacentral:lncRNA from 1 species